rnacentral:rRNA from 1 species
GUCUGUCCUGGUCCGGAAGGAUCGGGUAACCCGUUGAACCUCCUUCGUGCUAGGGAUUGUGGUUUGCAAUUUUUCCACAUGAACGAGGAAUUCCCAGUAAGCGCAAGUCAUAAGCUUGCGUUGAUUACGUCCCUGCCCUUUGUACACA